AACAGACCGAUUGAUCUUUGGUCAGAGCACAGGAAUUAUAUCAAUUCGCUGAUGCCUUGCGUUUACGGCAAAGACAAGUGAUAAUAAAGUGAAAUAAAAAAAAUUGCAUCUCAGCAGUAACAUCGCGUCAAAAUCAGCUUCGAUUGAACGACGCAAUCUUUACAUGAUUUUAUAUUACGACGUUAUUACGUAACGUAACGUAACUCGAACAACAUGUGAGUAAUUACAAUGUAGUAGUAAUAUAUCAGCUAUAGAUACAUGUAUAUAUAUCUCCAUAGAAAACAAGGCAUACAUAAAUCUAAUAAAAAUAUAAAUGGUUUAUUCUAUGAUAUGUAGAAAAACGAUACUAAGCUAAGUAAGCGACAGAUGAUAGAUAUUAAAAAUAAAAAAAUCUUGUGAAGAAACAAUAUAUGAGCGUAUUAAAAAUAUGGAGUUGCGGCAUGGCACAGAUACAUUUUUCAGCACAUCGUUGUUCGAAACCAUUGAGAUACAUUGUGUACAGCGGCGGUAUAUAUCACGUUUCUAACGAGUACAGAGUAAGGCACACAUACACACUCCGUUAAUGUCAAAGGCCCGAUGUACUGUCUUCUUCCGGAAAUAAUGUAACAUAUCUGUGUGCUAUGUAUCUGUGUACCAUGGUGAUUUCCUUUCAUGAAUGAGAAAGAAUUUCUUUUUCUUUGCACACUCGCAUUUAUCGUUAGAGAAUUUUCAAUUCCUGAAAUUUCGCUCUAUUUUCAUGUCAAACAUCUGUUGAUUCUCCUUGUGCAGUACAUUUAAACGCAUCUGUGCCAGCAUAUAAUGUGUGUAAAUUUCUCGCUUGUCGACAUGCAGUUCAAAUACCCACCACAAAACAGUAUGCAAAAAUACAUAAACAAUCAAUUAUCGCGAUUUUUGCUUGUAGAAAGGGUGUCAUGCAAUCUAUCGCAAGUUGUUGAAUCGUUCUGCAUAACUUUACGAUAUUUAUAAUCUAUUAAAAAAUCAUAUCAUUAAAUGUAUAACAUAGCUAACUAUUCGCAUAUCCUAUCAAAUUAAAACGUAUGUUCUCAAAUUUUCGUAUUACGUUACGCUUACGUAUACGGAGACAUCUACGUCACUAACAUUAUAUCAUUCAAUCUGUUAUAUAAUCGAUAAAGAAAUGAUUCAACUAAAGUAUCUUACAAAAA